GGAGGGGGCCAGCGUUGCUCGGAAUUACUGGGCGUAAAGGGCUCGUAGGCGGUCUGAUAAGUCCUGUGUGAAAUCCCCUGGCUUAACCAGGGAACUGCGCCGGAUACUGUCGGACUAGAGGCCGGGAGAGGGAAGCGGAAUUCCCAGUGUAGCGGUGAAAUGCGUAGAUAUUGGGAGGAACACCGGUGGCGUAGGCGGCUUCCUGGACCGGUUCUGACGCUAAAGAGCGAAAGCUAGGGUAGCAAACAGGAUUAGAUACCCUGGUAGUCCUAGCUGUAAACGAUGGGCGCUUGGUGUUGCGGGUAUCGACCCCUGCAGUGCCGAAGCUAACGCAUUAAGCGCCCCGCCUGGGGAGUACGGUCGCAAGGCUGAA
rnacentral:rRNA from 1 species